AACAAAACACUGACCUUGGUCCACAGACAACACCCGCGUCCACGUGGUGGGUGGCGCUGGCUCCGUCAGAGGAUGGGAAGAUGAGAAGUGCUUGUCGCAGGCCUGGAGAUGGGGACCACCCAGGCAUGCAGGGGAUGCUGCCUCUCCUCCAUCCAACAACAAGCCUGCGUGUGCCCAGCCCCCUCUGGUACACGCAUUGCUCCCCAUCCUCGGCAUUGAUCAAUUGAAAAUAAGACCUUGGAAGAACCCCUUGCAAAGCUGACAUUGUACGAGCCAAGGCAGCGGGGCUGGAGACACACUCCCGAGAGGGAGAUGGGAGAGAGGGCACCUCGUGGAUCCCGAGGAAGGCUGAAGGUGAGCCUCACAGGGUCGGGGGAAGACGGGGGAUCCCAAAGAUAACGUGGACCGAGAUGCCCAAAUCCUGGCCCUCCUGCUGGACUUUCAUUUUAAAGAACAAUAAAAUUAAUGUUAACUUCUAGCAGCUUCCAAGCUCUGGCCCCGGAGAGGGUCAGCGAGGGGCCUCCACUGUCUGAGUCCGCUCCUGGCAACGCCUGCUCUCUGCACUCAGAGGCCCGGUCCCGGCAGCUGCCACGUUGCUCAGAAGUUCUGGCAGGGGGAGCCUGAAACCCCUGUCUGCUGGCGACACUCCCGGAGCGGCAGGAAAUCUCUACAUUUUAUUUUUUUUCUUAACAGACAAAAGUAUUUGACUCCAGAAUGAUUUCCAGGAAUUACAGUAUGAGAACUUGGUCUUUGAGAUUUUUAUUUUCUUCUUAAAAAAAUAAAAAUGAAAUCAAAGCGGAAGACACUGGCUGAGCAGACAGCACACUAGCACAUUCCACUUCGCAACAAAACCUGCG
rnacentral:lncRNA from 1 species